UGCCUGGCGGCGAUAGCGCGGUGGUCCCACCUGACCCCAUGCCGAACUCAGAAGUGAAACGCCGUAGCGCCGAUGGUAGUGUGGGGUCUCCCCAUGCGAGAGUAGGGAACUGCCAGGCAUC
rnacentral:rRNA from 1 species